rnacentral:rRNA from 1 species
CCUACGGGGGGCAGCAGUGGGGAAUAUUGGACAAUGGGCGAAAGCCUGAUCCAGCCAUGCCGCGUGUGUGAAGAAGGCCUUCGGGUUGUAAAGCACUUUCAGUGGGGAAGAAAGCCUUGGGGCUAAUACCCUCGAGGAAGGACAUCACCCACAGAAGAAGCACCGGCUAACUCCGUGCCAGCAGCCGCGGUAAUACGGAGGGUGCGAGCGUUAAUCGGAAUUACUGGGCGUAAAGCGCGCGUAGGCGGUCUAAUAAGCCGGUUGUGAAAGCCCCGGGCUCAACCUGGGAACGGCAUCCGGAACUGUCAGGCUAGAGUGCAGGAGAGGAAGGUAGAAUUCCCGGUGUAGCGGUGAAAUGCGUAGAGAUCGGGAGGAAUACCAGUGGCGAAGGCGGCCUUCUGGACUGACACUGACGCUGAGGUGCGAAAGCGUGGGUAGCAAACAGGAUUAGAUACCCUAGUAGUC